UACGGAAGGCCCGAGCGUUAAUCGGAAUCACUGGGCUUAAAGCGUCCGCAGGCGGACCAGCAGGCGUCUUGUGAAAGCCCACGGCUCAACCGUGGAAUUGCAGGGCGAACCACUGGUCUUGAGGCAGGUAGGGGCCGACGGAACCAUGCGUGGAGCGGUGAAAUGCAUUGAUAUGCAUGGGAACGCCAAUGGCGAAGGCAGUCGGCUGGGCCUGUCCUGACGCUCAGGGACGAAAGCGUGGGGAGCAAACGGG
rnacentral:rRNA from 1 species